CCAGACUCCUACGGGAGGCAGCAGUGAGGAAUAUUGGUCAAUGGGCGGGAGCCUGAACCAGCCAAGCCGCGUGAAGGAAGAAGGCGCCAGGCGUCGUAAACUUCUUUUGUCGGGGAACAAAGGGCGCCACGCGUGGCGUUGUGAGUGUACCCGAAGAAAAAGCAUCGGCUAACUCCGUGCCAGCAGCCGCGGUAAUACGGAAGAUGCGAGCGUUAUCCGGAUUUAUUGGGUUUAAAGGGUGCGUAGGCGGUCGGAAAACAGAGCGGAAAAACCCCGGGGCCCACCCCCGGCGAGCCGUUGAAACUGUCGGACUAGAGACGGCGAGAAGUACGCGGAAUGCGCGGUGUAGCGGUGAAAUGCAUAGAUAUCGCGCAGAACUCCGAUUGCGAAGGCAGCGUACCGGCGCCGGACUGACGCUGAGGCACGAAAGCGUGGGUAUCGAACAGGAUUAGAUACCCCGGUAC
rnacentral:rRNA from 1 species